rnacentral:rRNA from 1 species
AUACGUAGGGGGCGAGCGUUGUCCGGAAUGAUUGGGCGUAAAGGGCGCGUAGGCGGCGCGGUAAGUCUGGAGUGAAAGUCCUGCUUUCAAGGUGGGAAUUGCUUUGGAUACUGCCGCGCUUGAGUGCAGGAGAGGUUAUCGGAAUUCCCGGUGUAGCGGUGAAAUGCGUAGAGAUCGGGAGGAACACCAGUGGCGAAGGCGGGUAACUGGACUGCAACUGACGCUGAGGCGCGAAAGUGUGGGGAGCAAACAGGAUUAGAUACCCUGGUAGUCCACACUGUAAACGAUGAAUGCUAGGUGUAGGGGGUAUCGACCCCUUCUGUGCCGCAGUCAACACAAUAAGCAUUCCGCCUGGGGAGUACGGCCGCAAGGUUGAAACUCAAAUGAAUUGACGGGG